rnacentral:rRNA from 1 species
GAUGAACGCUGACAGAAUGCUUAACACAUGCAAGUCUUUGGCGAAGCUGUGCUUGCACAGCCUAGCCAAGGCGGACGGGUGAGUAACGCGUAAGGAACUUGCCCUGCAGUCAGGGAUAACAGACGGAAACGACUGAUAAGACCUGGUAAAGUCAGGCGGACUCAUGUCCAGCCUGAUGAAAAGUGAUGCUGCGGGAGAGCCUUGCGUCCUAUUAGCUUGUUGGUGGGGUAACGGCCCACCAAGGCGAUGAUAGGUAGCCGGCCUGAGAGGGUGGACGGCCACAAGGGGACUGAGAUACGGCCCUUACUCCUACGGGAGGCAGCAGUGGGGAAUAUUGGACAAUGGGGGCAACCCUGAUCCAGCAAUUCUGUGUGCACGAUGAAGGUUUUCGGAUUGUAAAGUGCUUUCAGCAGGGAAGAAAAAAAUGACGGUACCUGCAGAAGAAGCGACGGCUAAAUACGUG